rnacentral:lncRNA from 1 species
CCCUCAUAGAUUAGCACAAGAGAUGGACCUAGCUCACAAACAAGCCAACCAUGUGUGAGGGUUGCCGGUUCAUUUCUACCUCUUCUAAAUGACUUCUAAGAGAGCAGCUUUUUGUGAUUCCUUCUAUCAGGAGGAAGUUUGUACUCAAGAGAACAUUAAUUGAUACUAGUAGCUUGAGAGUUAAAAUUCAGUUACGGACAAGAUGGGAGGCUGUUUUCAAUAAAAAACAUUCAUUCCAAGAUAGAACUCAGAGGAAAUUUUGAAAGGCCUCAAGUGCCAUCAAGGAAAUCUGCCUUCAUUGUCUUCAAAGGAUGCUACAGCGUGAAGCACGUUACUAAAUAAAGAUAUUACUCAGCAUGUAUUUGCA